rnacentral:rRNA from 1 species
GGACUACCGGGGUAUCUAAUCCCGUUCGCUCCCCUGGCUUUCGCGCCUCAGCGUCAGAAUGAGGUCCAGCAGCUCGCUUUCGCCACCGGCGUUCCUUCCGAUAUCAACGCAUUUCACCGCUCCACCGGAAGUUCCAGCUGCCCCUACCCCCCUCGAGCUACCCAGUAUCCGAGGCACUUUUCCGGUUAAGCCGGAAGAUUUCACCCCGGACUUGGGCAGCCGCCUACGCGCCCUUUAAGCCCAGUGAUUCCGAACAACGUUCGCACGGUUCGUCUUACCGCGGCUGCUGGCAC